UUAUUCGUAUCAACAAAUCUGUGUACGAGUUAAUAACGCAGCCUGGUUCCCUGCAUUUCAGUGACAGAGAACCAGAAUAAGAUUGUAGGGAAACAAGCCUUGUUACAAGGUUUGAGGGUCUCUGCUAGAAUCAUGUGGACCCCAGUGUAACAAAUCUAUGGAAAGAGAGAAAAUCUCAGCUCAAGGGUCAACAUGUCUUUAUUCCAAGAAAGAGUGUACAUAUGCCAGAAUCAUAUGGACUGCAGACUGGCCCUGGUGAUUCCGUUAAGAGAAAAGAGGAAAAAUCAGUGCUUGUGCUCAUUUGUCAUUGGACAAAGGGUGUAUGCCAGAAUUUUUUCAAGAACAGUCUGAAUCUGACAUGGAAAAAAUGAAGAAAAACAGCCUUCCUGUUUAUAAAUCUACAUUCUGGCAAAGGGAAUGAACUGCAUCAACUCUGCAUAGAACAGUAUCUCUCCCACUGGCACAACA